CCUGGCUCAGAUUGAACGCUGGCGGCAUGCCUUACACAUGCAAGUCGAACGGCAGCACGGAGCUUGCUCUGGUGGCGAGUGGCGAACGGGUGAGUAAUAUAUCGGAAUGUACCCUAGAGUGGGGGAUAACGUAGCGAAAGUUACGCUAAUACCGCAUACGAUCUAAGGAUGAAAGGGGGGAUCGCAAGACCUCAUGCUCGUGGAGCGGCCGAUAUCUGAUUAGCUAGUUGGUAGGGUAAAAGCUACCAAGGCAUCGAUCAGUAGCUGGUCUGAGAGGACGACCAGCCACACUGGAACUGAGACACGGUCCAGACUCCUACGGGAGGCAGCAGUGGGGAAUUUUGGACAAUGGGCGAAAGCCUGAUCCAGCAAUGCCGCGUGAGUGAAGAAGGCCUUCGGGUUGUAAAGCUCUUUUGUCAGGGAAGAAACGGUGAGAGCUAAUAUCUUUUGCUAAUGACGGUACCUGAAGAAUAAGCACCGGCUAACUACGUGCCAGCAGCCGCGGUAAUACGUAGGGUGCAAGCGUUAAUCGGAAUUACUGGGCGUAAAGCGUGCGCAGGCGGUUUUGUAAGUCUGAUGUGAAAUCCCCGGGCUCAACCUGGGAAUUGCAUUGGAGACUGCAAGGCUAGAAUCUGGCAGAGGGGGGUAGAAUUCCACGUGUAGCAGUGAAAUGCGUAGAUAUGUGGAGGAACACCGAUGGCGAAGGCAGCCCCCUGGGUCAAGAUUGACGCUCAUGCACGAAAGCGUGGGGAGCAAACAGGAUUAGAUACCCUGGUAGUCCACGCCCUAAACGAUGUCUACUAGUUGUCGGGUCUUAAUUGACUUGGUAACGCAGCUAACGCGUGAAGUAGACCGCCUGGGGAGUACGGUCGCAAGAUUAAAACUCAAAGGAAUUGACGGGGACCCGCACAAGCGGUGGAUGAUGUGGAUUAAUUCGAUGCAACGCGAAAAACCUUACCUACCCUUGACAUGGCUGGAAUCCUUGAGAGAUCGGGGAGUGCUGGAAAGAGAACCAGUACACAGGUGCUGCAUGGCUGUUGUCAGCUCGUGUCGUGAGAUGUUGGGUUAAGUCCCGCAACGAGCGCAACCCUUGUCAUUAGUUGGUAAGAAAGGGCACUCUAAUGAGACUGCCGGUGACAAACCGGAGGAAGGUGGGGAUGACGUCAAGUCCUCAUGGCCCUUAUGGGUAGGGCUUCACACGUCAUACAAUGGUACAUACAGAGCGCCGCCAACCCGCGAGGGGGAGCUAUUCGCAGAAAGUGUAUCGUAGUCCGGUUUGUAGUCUGCAACUCGACUGCAUGAA
rnacentral:rRNA from 1 species